rnacentral:rRNA from 1 species
AUUAGUUUUUUAAUUGAAGGCUGGAAUGAAUGGUUGGACAAGAAGCAAUCUGUCUUGGGUUAAUAUAUUGAAUUUAACUUUUAAGUGAAAAGGCUUAAAUAAUCUGAAGGGACGAUAAGACCCUAUAAAACUUUAUAUUAAGAAGUAGUAGGGUGAAUUUUGUUUAGAAGAUAUUAUUUUAAAGUAUUUGGUUGGGGCGACAAGGAUAAAAAGAAAAUAACUGUUCUUUUAUUUUACAAUAAUGUUUGGGUAUAAUGAUCCUAAGACGGGUUAAAAGAUUAAGUUACUUUAGGGAUAACAGCGUAAUUUUCUUUGAGAGUUCUUAUCGAUAAGAGAGUUUGCGACCUCGAUGUUGAAUUAAAGGUUCUUUAUGGAGUAGAGACUAUAAGAGAAGGUCUGUUCGACCUUUAAAACUUUACAUGAUUUGAGUUCAGACCGGCGUGAG